UGUGACGUGUAUUAAUUAAAUAAAAUAAAAUAAAAAUCAAAAUUUCGAAAAAAAUGCUGAGAUUUGUAAAAUCUACUACAGUUGCAUCGGGUGAAAAAUCAAUAACAAAAGAUCCUGGUCUAAAACCGCAAAGAAAAUUAUCCCGAGUAAUAUUUGUAGAUUUCUCAUUGUGGUCUAAAAAAUAAAAAUUGAGAAAUUUCGAAAUCUCGGAAAAUGUUGAAACUUAUUACGAUUGCAUCGAGUGAGAAAAAUCAAUAAUAAUAGAUCCAUCCCUUUUUAAAACCGCAAAAAAAUAAAAUUUCUCGAAUAGCAGCUGCGGAUUUCUCAUCUUCGUCGUCUAAAAAAACAAAAUCACUCGUCACAAUAUAUACACACACUAGUGAAUUUAUUUCAUGCACCCUGAAUUUCCAACUUCACUUUCUUGAUAAAAUCUUCACAUUUCUUCUUCAAUUCUUCUGUAUCAAUCCCUUCAUCGUCUUCUUCGUCAUGUUCAUGUUCAUGUUCAUCCCAUUUUUUGACUUCGAAAUUCUGCAAAUCUUCUUCAACUUCCUCUGCAGAAAAACUAACUUUUUCUUCAAGAAUUUCUACUUUCCCAACACCAUUUAUCUUGCUCUCUUCAAGUCCAUCUUUCUCGGGCCGAUGAUGGACGGUUUUUGGGCCCGAAUCGACGGGUGUGAUCUUGCUGAUGAGCCCGGAUGAUUGUAUGAUGAAAACAAGAAUCCCAUUGCAGAGGAGGAAGAUGCAGUUUCUCUCAGUUGUGUAAGUGAAGAGCUUGAAGUUGAAGUUGUUCAAGUGUGAGACAAGAUGAUCAUAGGAGUGAAGAAAGAGAGGAGUGAGAGAGGAGUGAGAGAGGAAGAGUGAAAAAACAGAGAGUGGGAGGAGGAUUUGAGUGAUCUUCUUGAGAUGUUUGAAUCUGUCUGAAUGAUUCUUCAUGUUCUCCAUUUGAUCAUUGUAAUGAGCCAUGAUGUGUGUGUGUGAGAGGGAGAUAGAGAGGGAGAGGGGAUGGUAUGUAGUGAGAGGAGACUUUGGGUUGCAAUUUUAAUUAUGGCAGGUGAGGUGAUAUUGAAUGGUUUAUAUAAAAUAUUUUGGCGUGGAAAUUGGGUUUAAAAAAUGACUUAGGAGGAGACUUUUUUUUCCUUUUUCUUUUUAUUGUGCAAAAAUGACUUAGGAGGAGACUUAUUUUUUAUUUUUAUUUUUUCAAAUACAGAGAUAACAAAUUUAGCUUCUCUGUCAGAAAAAAGAUGUUAUCUUUUUCUUCUUUCUAUUUGAAAGGGGUGAGACCUGGAAAUUUUCUUUUUCAAGAUAAAUAAUCUAAGGGACAUAUAAAUCUAAUUUUAUGGACUAUUCAAUUCCUCUUGUCUAUUCAUCAUGGUCCCUCCUCUUUAAUUUCAAGUAUGGGGAGAAAUGUUAAUUUCAAAUAGAUUAAAAUGAUACUAUCCUGUGUCUCCUAUUGCAGGAGUCCAUUUCAUUCUUUGAAGUUCAUUCUCUUUAUGAUAAACUAGUAAGUGACCCGUCGAAUUUCGACGGGAUCUAUUAAAAUAUAAAUUUAUAAAAUUAUUUAAUAUUAUAUUUUUUGUUUUAUGAAUUUCUUUUCACUAAAAUAGAGAAUUUAAUAAAAUUAUUUUAAAGUAAAAGGCCGUAAUAUUUAUUUAAAAUUGAUCUAAUUUAAAUAUCUUUAUGAAAUUUAUAUGUAAGCAUAGUUUCAACCCACAAGAUAUUAAAAGAGAAAUUGGAACAAUUAUUUGAAACAUACCUAAAUUAGAUACCUGUAGCUGGAACCAACAACUGAAAAAAUAAGAAAAAUAAAUAAAUUAAACAAAGUCAUUAAUGACUUAAACUAUCUAAGUUUGAAUAAAUUAUUAAAUUUGACACGUGGGGUUGUCCAUGACUAAAAACAGAUUUCGGUAGAUAUAAUCCUAUGAAAGAGAUUGUCCCUGAUUUUUAUUUAUGUUCAUAGCAAAACAAACACUCACAGGGAAUUGUCUUCUCUAAAACCGAAUUGAAAAUUUAGUGAAAUCUGAUGGACUCAUAAUCAUUUCAGUUAUAGGAAACUAUUUGCCCGCAUUUUUUCCUGAAAUUAAUUUGCCUUCAAUUACGCGUUCCCCAAGUUUAGUUACUAUUAGCCUAGUGUCAUUGCAAAGCUCAUUAGAUGAAUCAAUAUUUCUAAAAAGCAUGAUUAUGCAUCCCUCUUAAUUUCAUGACUCGACAAUCGUGAACACUUGAUCGUGUUUAGAUAUUCAUCCGAGAAUACCUGUUCAUCGAGGUCCACUUGUCCAUCUUCUUUGCGAAUGCUGUUUUAACUGAAUUGAAGCUACCUGGAGUACUACCCCUCCUACGUAUGAUCGAGUAUAAGGUGUUCCAAAUAUAUGUCUUUUCUAUACCACCAUAUCCAUAUAGAAAGAAAAAGCGUCCCUACACCACUAUCAACCACGACCAUUAUUUUUUCAUAAAUCAUUCUUUGCUCAUAUGUCAAAGAGGGAUAUAGACAUAUAGUUUAACGUUGUUUUUUUUUUCAUUUCUUCCAUAUUGUAAAACAUCUUUUCCAGUAGAUUCUCUUAAUCAGAUAUGACAGUUUCGUUUGAUAACGACAUGCUAGGAAAAUUGGUUAAACUGGUGAAAUUAGAAGCAACUUCUCAAUUUCAACCAAUGCUAAGUUUUUUAUUUGAUCAUCUGUGAACUACAAAUUUGUUAAAUAAAAGUCAUUAGACAAUGUAAUAUCCAAAUAAAACUAUAAACUAUAAAUGUAGACAUAUUCAUAAAUUAUUUUUAUUAAAAAUUAAUUAAAAUUUUGAAAAAAAGAAUGAAUGAUUAUUGAAAAAAAAAAUUAAACUGGGAUAUGUAAUUGAAACUCAAUGUUUCUGACCAUAUACAUACAUACAUACAUAAAGACAAUUAGUAAUUUUUAUAUUUUAAUAUUUUUUUUCUAUUUUCUAAAAUGGAGGACGAACUCAAAACAAAUUAAAGUUGCAUUUUUUAAUUUUCAAAAUUAAUAGCUAUAAAAAAUUACACUUUGUGGCAAUCUAAUGGUAUACCGAAUUUAGAGUGUGUAAUAUUGCCCUAGACAAUAAUAAUGAUGCUAUAUCCAUAUAGAAAGAAAAAUCCUCCCUACACCACUAUCAACCACGGCCAUUAUUUUUUUCAUAAAUCAUUUUUUGAUCAUCUGUCAAAGAGGGAUAUAGACAUAUAGUUUAACGUUGUCUUCUUUUAUUUCUUCCAUGUUUUUUCAUAUAUCAUUCUUUGCUCAUCUGUCAAAUAGGGAUAUAGACAUAUAGUUUAACGUUGCCUUUUUUUCAUUUCUUCCAUGUUGUAAGACAUCUCUUCUAAUAUCAGUAGAUUGUCUGAAUCAGAUAUGAAAGUUCCGUUUGAUAACGAUAUGCCAGGAAAAUUGGUUAAACUGGUGAAAUUAGCAAUAAGCAACUUCUCAAUUUCAACCAAUGCUAUUAUUUGAUCAUCUGUGAACUGCAAAUCCGUUAAAAAAGUCAUUAGAACAAUGUAAUAUCUAAAUCAAAACUAUAAACUAUAAAUCUUAGACAUAUUCAUAAAUUAUUUUUAUUGAAAAUUAAUUAAAAUUUUUAAAAUAAAAGAAUGAAUGAUUAUUGAAAAAAAUAAUUAAACUUGGGAUAUGUAAUUGAAACUCAGAUGUUAACUAAUUAGUAUUUUGAUGUAUAUGAUCUGCAUAUGAAUCUAAAAUUCGUUGGAAUAAGUUGAUGUAUAUAUUCUGCAUAUUAAUGUAAAAUUCAUCGGAGAAUUAUAUUGUUAUUAAUUGUACAACUUGAUGUUAUAUUCGUUGGAGUAACUUACAUAUAUUAUAUAAGUGAUACUAUUGAUUGAUUUUUAUAGCAUUUAUAUAUUAUUGACUUUUAUAAUUAUAGUAAGAUAAUUUUAAUUAGAGUAAGAUUUAUUAAUUCUCUUUUCUAAUUAAAGUUGCCACAUCAAUGGUGGGCACGUUAUGCUUGCCCAUGAUGGGUAGGUGAUCGGUUCUGAUUAUGUAUAAGUGAUACUAUUGAUUGAUUUUUAUAGAUUUAUAUAUUAUUGAUUUUUAUAAAGAUAGUAAUAGAUGGAGUUUGAUUAGAGGUGGAGAUUGAUUAGAGAUAUUGAAAAAUAUAAGAAUGGAUGAGAAUUGAGAAAAAUUGAAAUAGAGUGAUUAUAUGCCGCCACGUAGGAUAGAAUUUAUUUUACUUUUAUAUAUAGAUAUAUAGAUAUAGAUGCUUGUAUUGUAAUUUGUAUGGUAUAUGGCUGAUCAUUAGCACGAAAACAGAGAGUAGUUUUCCUAAACGCUUUAUAGGGAUAAGGAAAAGGGGAAGGAACACAAAUUAUCAAUGGGCAAUAAUUAAUGGAGUGGAGUACUAUUAAAAGAGCAAUAAUGCUAUUUGGACGAACAAAGUUUGUCAAAAAACUUAGGAAAUAAAUUUAUUUAAAUUUUUUCGUUCAAAAUAAAAAAUAAUUUAAUUAGUUUUAUUAUUUUCUUCAUAUUAUAGUUUUUCGUAAUUUUUUAAUAGUCCUUUUUAAUUUUAUUAUUUUAAAAGUACAACAAAACUACAAAAUAAAUUACAAUAAUUAAAAAAUUACAAAAAAAAUACAAUGUGGAUAUAAACAAUAAACUAAUUAAAUCCUUAUUAAAUUUGAACUGAUUUUUUAAAACAAAUUAAUUUUUUAAAUAUUUAACUUUUUUUUUUGUCCAGACAAAUUUUGUUCUACUAAUAAGUUCGUUGGUUUAGGUGGGUUUGUUGAUAGGAGGUCAUUGCUUGGGGCGUCAUUUCGGCUCUUUUUUUACUGUUUUCUGGUGCACUUGAAACUGGGGUCGGAAUGGUCGGGCCUUAUUGGUUGCUCCACGGUAAGGAUCCGUUUUCUUUCUUAUCGGCGUAGAGUUCUUGGAGCUAGCAAGUUUUUGUCGUUGAUGGGCUGUGCUCUGCUGAUUUCUGGGCUUAACUUUUUGUCGAACACUUGGAUUGUUUCUCGGCAGAAGGGUGUCUUGCGUAAUAGGUUUUUUGAGUUCGCUUCUUGGGUUUUCGGCAGUUGGAUCUUUUUGGAACUCGUUUUUGUUUUUUCUCGGCUGUUUUGUCCUUGGUUUUUUUAUUUCUUUUUUCUGUGGUUUAUCUUUUCGGCUCAGGAAAUGUCGAGUGUACUUGGGGGCGAUGGUUAGACCGAAGUUUUCGAAGUAUUCCCACUUUCUUUAUGUUCCCUUCUUUUUGUCUUUUUGGUUCUUUAGAUAAGCACUCUUUUUCCUCUCUUCGAUUUUUCCCUAUGGGUUUUUCUUAGAGAGGUUUUAAUGAGGCUCGGCCCUUAGUCUGCUUUCUAUGCUUUCAAGGGUUUAGAUUCCUUUUUCUUUUUCUUUUUCUAAUAAAAUUUAAUUUAAUAAGACAAAUUUUGUCCUGCUCUUAAAAGAGAGUGCAUAUUAACACUUCGACACUGAUGAUCUAACCACACGUGAACUCAAAAUACUAUUUUUACCGCUGUAAAUUUUGAAAUCUUGCCUUUCUUCCUACUAUGUCUCGGUGAUAGAUCGACUAAUCAAAUGUGUGAGUACAAAUGUGCACUACAUGCUAUAUUUGAUAUAUAUCAAUUGCUCAUCACAUAUAGUAUAUUUUAGCCGUGUACGUAUAUGCAAAAGUAGGGAAGGAAAAAUGUUAAAUAAUACAAUAAGUUUUUUUCUUUUUUAGAUGAGAUGGUCUUAGGUACAACCGAGUGUACCAUAUAAUCGAGUUGCACCCUCAUUUAGACCCUGAACUUGAUCCAAAUUCGUAUUUAAUUUGAUUCGAACCUUAUAAAUAACACUAUUUUAGAUGCGGAUCAACCCAAUUGUACGAUACACCCGAGUGUACCCAAGUUUUUGUGUUUAUUUAGAUAGUGAAUGAUGAGUUCAUAUACCUUGUUAAAUUAGUUGUAGACUAUGGUAUAUUGGUGAUGGAAGUAAUCAACUGCUAACCUAAUUGAACUUGUUUCUCAGCAUUAGAUAUGAAACUUGUCACACAACACGACUUUGUCUUACAGAAUUGAGAUUGAAAGUAUCUACUUUUACUUAAUUUGAUAACGUAUAGUAUAUAUGUGGCUAUAAUUAAUUAACAUAACCACGUCACCCAUAUUUACUAGUGAGAUUAAUAUAUGUUGCUUUUCUUCAAAUUUUCUGUCACGUAAGUUGACUAUAUAUAUAUAUAUAUGAUUUAUUGUUUUGAGGUGAAACCUGAAACAAAAUUAGAGAUAUAAAUUAUUAUUUUUUUAUGGGAAGAAACAAACAAAUUGAUAUAACCUUUGGUAUCAACUGAGAGCAAUAUCUCUUGUUGUCAUUACCCGCAUUGCUUAGUCAAAAAUGUCACAUUGUACACUCAAUCCCAUGCUUAAUUAAGUAGAUUGCGUGCAUUAUUUCAUAUUGUAUUCUCAUCUCAUUCAUGGGUGAAAUUGAAGAUACAUCAAGUUCACAAAUUAAGCUAAUAUUUUUAUAUGUCCCAUUAAUCUCUGAUUUUUUUUUUCUUUUCAAUAGUAUCCUAAUAGAUAUUAUGUUGAUCCAAAAACAUAGCUACUUCUUUUUAUUUUUAAUUUUUUCUCAUACCAAAUUUUAACAACUACUCCCUCCGUCCAUGAAAGAACUUCUUAGGAGGGAGUGUCACGGGUUUAAGAAAAAAUAUUGUUAAGUGUAUUGAGAGUGGAUAAAAAGUAAUUGAGUGUAUUGGGAGUGGUGAAAAUGUGUUAUAAUUAAUAUUAAGAGUUGUGAAAAGUGAAAAGUAAGAGAAUUAUAAGUGGUGGGGUAUAGUCCAAAAAUAGGUAGGAAGUUCUUUUGUGGACGUCCCAAAAAGGAAAGAUAAGAAGUUCUUUCGUGGACGGAGGGAGUAUUUUAUUUUGAUAAUGAGGUGAGGAGCAAUAUUUUGUGUAGAAUGUGGAUUGGUUAAACAUAAUUCAUUUAUUUCUGUAAUGCACAUCACGAUAUACUCACAAGACCAUGCAUCUAUGUAUAAAAUAAAUAAUUUUAGAAAGUUGACAAAUCAAUAAUUCUUAGAAAAAAAAAAAAACUCCCAAAAUAAUUAGAUUUUUCCUCUUAAAAGGUUAUAUGUAUUUAUAUCAGCAAUCAGCAUUACUUGAUUCAGAUAAGCAUGUUAUGACUUCAACUAUAAUAAUCAAUCUAUUAUUUGUCUCUUUCGUGUUUAGAGCAGAGGAGUUUGAGUAACACUCACACAAACAUUCUGCAAGCCUAAAGAGAGCGACAAAAUAAAAUGAGAUGGUUACUUUGCUUUGGAUCUGAUAAUCUAUACUAAUAAUUAAAAUGCAAUGAAACUAGACUUUAUUUUUAUAUUUUAGUUUAAUGUCAUGUAGAAACAUAUGAUCAUAUUGAAAAAGAAAAAAAAUCAAGACGUGGAGGAAGGUCGUGACCUCAUAUACAUAUUUCACACGAGGACCUACUCCGUCCAUAUUAUUAUUAAAAUACGGCUAUUAUUGAAAGAAAAAAAAAAGAAGAAAAGAAUCUAAAAAACCCUUGACAUACUCUGUCCAUAUUAAAAUAAAGGAUAACCAAUUGGUGCAUAAACAUGUUGAUAAAAAAAAUUGGUGCAUAAAACAUUGAACUUAUUUUUUGGUANAAUCAAUUGUUAAGUCAGCUUUAAUUUGAAAAAUAAAAAAUAAAAAAUGAAUCAAAAAUUGAAUACGUUUAAAGUUAAUGUAUUUAAAACUAUAUUUUAAAGUUCAUGUUAACUAUAAAAAUGAAUAAAGUUCAUGUAUUUAUAAUUAGGAUUUAAAAUUCAUAUUAAAUAUUAAAAAGUGAGUAAAUGUCAUAUAUUUCUACACCAAUUACCCUAAGUUAAAAAAUAUUUUGGUUUUCUAAUUUUAUUUCAUAAUAUAAGAUAUUCUCUUCAAUUAAAAUUAAUCUAUCUUCCACAUUAAACUUUCCACUUUUCAACUCCCUCAUUAAGACUCUAAUUACUAUAAUUAGUUCUCCCUCCGUCCGAACUUUUAGUAUCUAUAUUUUCUUUGUUGUAUGUCCCACAUUUUGGUAUUCAUUUCUAUUUUUAGUAAAAAUAGGUGGGACUCUUAAAUUGGAAUUAACGGCAACCUCAACACCCUUGGUCGACCUGCCACAUCCGUAAAUAUAAUUAAAAAAAGAAAAUGGGAUUGAAGCAACACUUAUCGACCGACCACGGUCUCCUGGGAACCCAAUUGAGACAUGUAGUAUCCUCACCUUUUGUGAUAAAGUUUUGAUGAUGUGUCACUAUUUUAUUGGUUGGAUGUUUUUAAUUUAGAUAUUGAAAUAAAAUUUUAAUAUUUAUUACAUAUUUUAUGUUGUAUAUAUAUAUAUAUAUAUAUAUAUACAUAAAUUUAUAAUUUUAAUUUCUCUAUAAAUAGAAACCUCAUUUGUUAUAUUUAUACACUAAAUUUUUUCCAUUUUUCGCAAUAGAUCCAAGAUUUUUUUUUUUUUUUUCAGAAUUCUCAAAAGUUCUCAAACUCCCAAGAUUAUUAUUAUAAUCUUGAUAAUAUUGAUAGCGAAGUUUUUGGAUUUGGUUCAAACCUCCAAUUUCCAUAUGAUCUCACUCAUGAAAAUUUCACUCAAGAAAAUGUCCACCCCACAAACACAAACACUUCCAACAGUCCGAAAGGUUGGAAUGAUCAAGAAGAUUCGGCACUCAUGUAUGUUUGGUGUAAUUGUAGCUCGAAUGUAAUUGUUGGCACUAAUCAAAAUAAUGUCACUUUAUGAAACUCAUUUGGGAAUGUAUGAAGAAUCUCGAGCUGACAACUCGCAGUUAAUGGAAGAGAAAAGAACAAUGGAGUCAUUGAGAAAUCGUUGCAAGAGGUUGAAUGCGAAUGUAACCAAGUGGGUGGGUGCAUAUGCAGAAGCAUAUGCCCGAAAAAGUAGCGGCAUGUCUAAUGCAGAUGUUGAGAAGGAAACACAAAUUUUUUAAGGAAAAACUAAAUUUACGCACCAUGAGAUUUUGAAAAAGUCAUGCGUCAUCUUCCAAAAUGGGAAUUGAAAUUGGGCAGUGAGCGUACGCGUGCCCAUGCAGUUGAUGAUGAAGAUGAUGUUGAAGAAGAUUGUGGCAGUUCAAAAAAAUCAAGAACAACCGAGGAAGAUGAGAAUCCAAACAACUCCACCUCUAAAACUCCUGUAAGUGAAACUUCAACAAUCCGUCGUCCUGCUGGUAGAUGUUGGAACUUAAUGAAAUAUCCUAUCCCUAGUUUUGAUGAUAUCAAAACACCUAGGUUUUAUUGUAAUAGACUAGAACUUUUCGAACUCAAGUGUUGGAGUUCAUGUUUUCUAGUUAGACUGCUGAAGACUGAAGAUUGAAGACCUCAACUGAAGAUAGCUGCGAAAAGACUAAGUCAGAUACUGAUGUAUUGACUAGAUGAGAUUUUCGCCGAUCUAUCAGUUUAACUGAUGUAUUAAACGCUGAAACCAACAUUAAAUGCUCUUGCAGCCGCAUUAAAUGCAGAGAUUUUGAAGAUCGUCCUUUAUCUGCAGAGAGUUCCUAUUUGGUGUAAGCUUUUCAAAGGCGCCCCUGCCUGCCGUACCUUUGAGACGCCGUCCUUCACUAAAACAGGAACCUCGAAGAUUGUAACCUCAGCCAAAUUCAAAGUGUUACUCUCACAAUGGACGAACUCUUGAAGAUUUUCUCUCCAGCGGAUCUAUUCAAGACUUCGCCUGAGCUCGAGGAACACUGCAAUCUUCACCGAUUCAAACACACAAGCUGAACCUCUGCCAAAUUUGCAACUCAGCUUUCAACUGCCUUCAAAAGUUUGAAUCGAAGAAGAGAAUCCCCAAAGUCUAAAUCAGUUCACUGAUUAUCAUUAUUCUCUUGUCAUCUUAGGCAAAUCCUUGUAUUACCCAAAGCCCAAGUUUUCGAUUACUUGAGAGCCUGUUCUCAGUAAUCUUAGUUGGAAGAGUUCAAACCCCUUUUCAACCGAGCGAAAAGAGUGUUUGAGUAGAGAGGAGUUCAGACCAGGGUUCUGACUCCAGAGAUCUUAGCCAAGCGCUGGAAAAAGCACUUGCGUGUUUUAGCGUGCUAAGAGUGAGCGAGAAAUCCAACUCAAUUUGUUGGUACUGAAAAUUUGAUUUUCAGCUGUAAGGUUUGCUGUGCACCCGUAAACAUUAGCCCAGAGUGAUUGUCAGACUAAUCAUCUGACCGUGGAUUAGGAACUUUGACUUCCGAACCACGUAAAAAUUCUUGUGUUCUUUAUCUGCUUUCAGUUAUUCCUUAUAUUCGUUAAACUUGGUUUUCAACCGAACUGGCUUAACUGAAAAGUGUAACUAAGGAUUUUGUUAAGUGUCAAACCUUUCUAAAGGCUAUCUGGAUUAAGUUUAAAUUUUCGCUGCUGAGUUAUUAGUCUAACUGAUCAAUCAAUUGAUAGUCAGUAAGAUUAGUAACUUUACUCUGUUUUACAAACUCAAGACUGAAGCCCUGCAUGGAUAUCAGUUAAAGCUCUAUGCUUGACUGAAAUCAAAAUUACUGAAGUUAUUUCAGUAUCAGUCUACAACCAUCUUUCAAUUGAAGUUUGGUUUGUUUGUUUUCGAUCAACGAAAAAUAGCCUUUAGGUGUAUUCACUCCCUCCCCCAUACACCUGUUCAGUCAACCCUCAGGGACCCAACAGUAGAGAUAAAGCAAGAGCAAAAAGAAAUGGAAAAGCCAAAAUGUCAUUGAUAAAAUAUUGUGGUUGGAUGGUUAGAGUGGUCAUUGAUAAAUCUCUCAAAAUGUGUGUGGUUGGGUUGAGAUGGAUAUUGGUGAUGUGGAAUAUAGAUAAAUUAAUUAAAUAUUAGAGAGGUUAGAUGGUUGAGUGGUUGGAGUGGUUGCUGAUAAUGGUAGUUUUACUCCACUUUAAUUAUUUAACAUGCACAUAAAGGUGUGAUCCUUAUUGCACUCACAACACACCCAACCACUUUAUUAAACCUCGUGCCAUUCUCAAAUGGGUACUAAAAGUUGGGACAUAGGAAAUAUUGAAAUAAAGGUUUAUUAAAGAAAAGGAAAACCAAAGACAUAAACACCCUUGAGAGCACAGAGAAGCAAACUAAGGGCCGAGCCUCGUUAAAACCACUUUGAGAAAAAACCUCGAAAGGAAAAACCCCAAAGCGAAAAAAGAGUACUCGUAAAAGGAACAAAACAAACGCCAAGAGAGCAGAAGGGGUAACUUCGAGAGCUCCGGCCUUACCAUCACCCCCAAGCUACCCCGGCUCCACCCAGCGAAAACCACAACAGCCAAGAAACGGAAAACACCAACCACAGCAGUAAACGCGCUGCCUUCCAAGGUAGCACCAAAUCAGACCAAGCCAGCAGCAACAAACCAGAACUGCAAGCCAGCAAGCAGCAGCAACAGCAAGCCAGCAGCAGACAGCAAGCUAGCAGCAGCAAACCAGACCAGCAGCAGCACAUCGAAUCUAGCAGCAGCACCAGACCAGCAAGCACAACGACCCAGCAGCAACGAAGUAACGUCGACCCACCGACUACCCAAGCCAGCAGCAGCGCACCAACAGACAUGCCCGCGGUAACCAUCAACCUUACCGAACCUUUCGUGAAAAGCUAUGCGUUGCAAUGUCAGCAAUCACAAACUUUCUAAUAGCAUCAAUACUAAACGGCCACCAGCCCUCCGGCUGAGCUAAAUUUUCCAUGGCAUCAGCAACGACAUUACCCUCACGAAAAAUAUGAGAAACUCGAAAAGUGAUGUCUCUAAGUCUAGCCAAAGUGGCCUUCCAAGCCGCAUAAAAUUUCCACGGAACAGCCAUCGAACAAUCUUCCAAAAGGUUAACCACAUACAACGAAUCCACCUCCAACCAAAGUUUAUGCCACCCUCUCGAGUGCGCAAUAGCAAUCACUGUUAUAAUCGCAAGAAGUUCCGCCUCGAAGGCAUAAGCCUUGCCACCGUUCAAGUGAAAACACCCUCUAACGACACAAAACUUAUCCCGAUACACCCCCCACGCAAUCACUCAGGAGCGCCCGAGCCGCCCGUCCUAUUGACUUUUAUCCAAUCCCCCGAGGAGGCCACCAGUUGACACUAAUAAAAUUGGAGGCGGAGCAGCACCACGAAACUCCGAUAGAGCGAGUGAUCAUAUAAUCAGACCACAAGUUAGAAGUAUGACCAAGCCUGGGGAAUGCCUCAUCCACCUCUUUAAAAGUAGCCUUUACAAAAGCUAACACACGUCCUAAUCAAAGGGACGAUCAUCAAAGAUAGCUUUGUUGCGCAACGACCAAAUACACCAUAGCAUACUAAUAAUCCCCAACUUCCAAAAAUUCUGAAUCAGCGAACAAAACGAGGCCUGCCAGGUCUGCACUAAGAAAGAAUAAAUGUCCGUGCAUUCCAUAAGAUGCGGCAUUUGAAACCACGUGAGAAACUCAAUCCAAAUCGGAGUCACACGAGAACAACUCCAGAAAAUAUAAUCUAUGCUUUUCGCAUCCGCCAUACAUAAACUGCAGCAAUUAGGAGUAAUAAGGCCAUUCCGAACCAGCUUAUCCACCGUUGGGAGGCGACCAUGAAUAAUGCGCCAACAAGUAAUAGAACGCCUCAUCGGAAUAAAAUUGCUCCAAAUCCAAAAGCCCCAAUUAACUUUAGGGAAACGAUGUCCAAUUUGAGCAAAAGCAAAGACUGCAGUCACAUAUCCAUGAAGAGACGGCUUCCAAAACCGAGCAUCAACUUCACCAUCAAUCGGGCAAGUGAUGAUAUCAACCACCACAUCAGGAUAAUGCUCGAUAAAAUUUGCCGAGAAGUGCCAAACACCGUCAAUAAAAUAAUCCGCCACCGAUUGAUUUAGAAAAUCAUGCAUGAAAGAGGGAAUGACAAUUUUAUCACAAAUUUUAUAACUAAGCCAAUCGUUAGUCCAGAAACGAGUGUGAUGCCCUUUCCUCACCAGAGCAUAAGAACUCUCGACUAAUUCAUCAAUCUCCGGCUUAACACUCAUCCAAAAUGACGAUCCCACCACCGAAGCCUUCGCCAAGCCAAAAUUAUCCAAAUAGCGAGAUCGGAGAAUUCUGAAAACAAAAUCCUCGCCUUUUAUCAACUUCCAAGCCAUUUUCAUCAUAUAGCAGCGAUUCAUAAUAGAAAACGACCGAAUGCCGAGGCCUCCUUCAUCCUUUGGAGCACAACACCUGCCCCAGCUCACAGCACACGUUGGACUUUUAUCAAUAGAACCCGACCACACAAAAUUUCGGAAACUUUUAUCCAAAUCAUGGAGCAACGAUUUUGGCUAGAGAAAGACCAUCAUCGAAUGAACAAUAGAUCUCUUAAUAACCGAAUUAACUAGACAGAGACGUCCAGCCAUAGAUAACUGUAACCCCUUCCAUUUAGAAAAUUUCUGCACAAUCCUAUCUUUGAUGCUCAUGAAAUAAGAAGCACGCGGUCGCCCGAUGAAGAGGGGAACGCCCAAGUACAUAGUCGGGAGAGACCCCUGAGUGAAACGCAGGAUCCUAUUAAUCCCCUGCGUCAUAGCAUACGAAACUCCGCGACCAAAGAAUAUUUUGGACUUCGCUUGACUACAAAUCUGACCCGAAAGCUCCCCAUAGAAGUCCAAAAUGUGUUUAAUCUUCUUAGGAUUUCUGACAGAAGCACGACAGAAGAUAAUGAUAUCGUCAGCAUAGAAUAAGUGAGUCGGAAAGUUCGAAACUCUGUCAAAACCCAUAGGCAGAAGAUGUCGCGAGUCAACGCAAUUCCUGAUGAUGUGACUAAGAACAUCCUCAACUAUACCAAAUAAUAUAGGGGAUAAAGGAUCUACCUGCCUUACCCCACUAGAACAAGCGAAAUAUCCACUAAGUCGCCCAUUAUACAAAAUUGAAAUACGAGCCGACUCAAAAAUCACCUCAAUUCAUCGAAUGAACUGCUCAUGGUACCCCAUAGCACGGAGAGCAGUAGUGAUGAAGUCCCAACGCAUAGUGUCAAAAGCCUUAUGUAUGUCAAUCUUACAAGCAAAGUUCGACCCGCGAUUAAUCCGAUUCAUAGUGUUGAAACCCUCCGAUCCCAUCGCAAUACAAUCAUGAAUAGAUCUUCCCGAAAUGAAACCAAACUAAUUCAGAGUAACCGAAGCAGCCGCCAUUGUACUGAGCCUUGAGGCUAACACCUUCGAGAUGACUUUGAACAGAAAAUUAGCCAAAACAAUGGGUCUAAGGUCAGAAACAUUUUCCACCAAAUCUUUCUUUGGAAUCAAAAUCAAAGUGUUAGAAUUGCACCCAGCAGGCAAAAACGAAAACAAGAAGAAACUCUUGACUGCCUAGAUCACAUCAUUUUUAAUCACACUCCAGCAGUUUUGAAAAAACAUGCCCGAGAACCCAUCAGGUCCCGGUGAACUAUUUCCAUCCAAACCAAAGAUAGCAACAGUAAUAUUAAUAUCAUCCGGAAUCGCAAUAAGUCGUUUAUUCUGCUCCUCAAAGACGACCAAAUCUACAUUCGCCUCGAUAGCUGCCAACUCCACCACAACAGUUGGUGAAUAACGAAGAGAAAUUAUCUAUAAUAUGAUGCUCAAUGGUGUUUGAAUCAUAAAUCAUCUCCUCACCAAUCCUCAAGUGUCCAAUGUGAAGCUUAUCCUUUUUAAACUUGAGCAUGUUGUGGAAAAAAGCCGAAUUUUUAUCCCCAUCCGUGAGCCACGCCACUCUACUCUUUUGCUGAAGUAAACUACUUUUUUGCGACAGAAAUCUGUUUAGCUUAGCUUCACAACGGACUUCCUCAUCAAAUCUGUCUUCAUUAUAACCCAAAUCUGCAAUUGUCACCUGAACAUCUUCCAAAUCCCUUUGAGCUUGAGUGAUGGCCGAAUCCACAUUCCCGAACACCAACUUGUUCCAGUCCCGUAAAACCCCCUUCAACCGUUUCAAUUUCAGUAUAACCGUUAACAUAGGACAUCGCACAUCGACUCCCAUACUCCAAGAAUCAGCUACAACAUCAAUGAAAGUUGGAUGAGACGUCUACAUAUUAAGAAAUUUAAAAGAUCUCCUAGCCGGAGGAGCAUCAAAGCGGCACUGUAAAACAAUAGGAGAGUGAUCCGAAGUUGCACGAGGUAGAACAUGAGUGUUAAUCGAACCCCAGAUAUUUGCAAAGGAACUUGAGAAAAGGGCCCUGUCAAGACGAGAUUCCACAUGUCGGGGCAAGAAUCUGCGACCCGACCAAGUAAAACGAAGGCCAGAAGUGGGAGAUUCAAUAAAACCCGAAUCAUCAAUAAAGCGGCAGAAAUCUCUACAAGCCCCCCUAGGCGGCAUCACUCCACUAAUCCUCUCAUGCGAUCCUUUGACCGCAUUAAAAUGCCCCAUGAAAACUGUGUUGCCAUGAGCAAAAUGAAGAAGAAUAGUCCAGAGAGUACGACGCUCAAACGGAUCAUUCGAACCAUGAAUAAUAGCCAGACGGAAAACCAUAUUCUGCUAGGAACAAUCCACAAUUGCCACCUGAGGCGAAGAAUAAAUAACAUUUGCAACCAAGGUAGGUUGCACAAAAAUCGAGAUGUUGGAGCGCAUAGAAGGCCGGCAAUUCUGAUGAAAAUGGGUCAAAUGAAGCGACCCCCAAAAAGAGUGCUGGACCUUGUUAAACGCAGUUUUUGGCUCCACCAAACCCAAAAUAAAGAGGCUUAAAAGAGCGGCCAUGCUCUCUAAGAAGGAGCUUAGAAUCAUCCGUAAGCCCUCGGAUGUUCCAAACCAUGACAUUCAUUAAAAACCUGGAGCAGAAAACGGGUGCUCGCCCACUUCAACCUCAGAAGCCCAUGACCUCGCCGUCACGUUCUGCAUGGUCUUUAUAGGAGUUGAAUCUGAGUUAUCCACCACAAAGCUCCUUAGAGUCAACCCAAGUUCUGUCGUCUGCCUCAAACGAUGUUUUAUGCUAUCCUCCGUAACCUGAGAGAAAGGAGGACGAGCCCCUCUCCACCUACCAAAACUUGGGGGUCAGCCUCGUCUUCUCUUGACAAACCCGGCAGCCUCAUCCUCCACCUCUCUCGCCUCACUAGCAUUAAUAUAUUCCUCUAAUCUUUGAAUUUUUAACGCUUGUUCAGCUGCUAUCUCUUUCAUGUCCUCAUCGCUUCUCACCUGGUGUUGCAUCUCAGUAACCAUUCGAGCACCUGAGUCAUCAGGAGUGGUGUUUUCCGGGCAUUCCUCAAUGUGGAAAAGUUGUGGAAUAUCCACAGAGGUGGUGACCAUCGCAAGCAAGUCCGGACCAGACAUCGAGUGCAAAUCCACCCUAUCAGACCCCCCAACAGAACAAUCCACAAGCAUCUCUUCAUGCAAACCUGUUCAAGCCUUGAAUCGAUUGGUUUGAAGGCUUAAAGAAGAUUUUCCGACUUCCUCAUUCCCUUUGAGCGAAGGUGUGGAAGGAUCAGUAACCGCAACAGACGUCUCCUUAUUAACUUCCUCAACACGAGUAUCAAUGACCUUCUCAGUAGUCUCCUUUGGUUGCCAGGAAGGUUUGGGAUCUUUACGAACAGCCUUAUACGGUCCUCGAUCCUCCACCAUGCCUGGAUUGGCCUACAAAUUUCUCUUACACUUCUUCGCUAUGUGCCCUGUGAUUCUGCAGCGAGAGCAAAACGAUGGUAUAGAUUCGUAGCUGAAUUCCACGAAACAGGAAGAGGUUCCUUCAUCCACAUAAACCCUGUCAAGAAGGGGCAAAGAAAGAUCUACGUCAAUCAGUAUACGAGCAAAAUGCCCUACUUCCCCCAACGCUGAACUACUAUCCAUGCGUAUAGGAUGUCCCACAGCACGCCCAACCACUGCAAUUACUUCAGGAUACCAGAACUCCAGCGGCAAGUUGUAAAUACGAACCCAAAUUUGCGCCAACGACGACGACUCCUUGUAAGGGUCAAAAAAUUUGGUCCAUUCUCGGAGUCUGACAUAUCUAGAAGAAAGCUCAAUGAUCGACUUGGCCUUCGCUAUCUUUUUGUCUUCCAUGCACUUAAAUUUGAUCGUGAAAUACCCUUUCCCCAUGGGAAUGCACUGCUAAUCCGAGAUUUUCCAAAUAAGUUGCAGUUCCUUUUGGACUUCGGCAAUAGGCUUCGGUUUAUCACCUUUCCGAAGAAUCAUACAUCCAAUAAGGGCAUAUUGAAAAGAUGCAAUUUGUUUCUAAUAGAAAGCCUGUGGAAUCGAAACCGUGACAAUAUAUCUCCUUCUUUCUUGUGAGAAAAGGCUUGAAAACGGUGCGCUGGCACGUCCGGCUUCUUGCCUCUUGGAGCAGCAACAGCCGCGUAUGCCGGUUUAGGGUUCACAGCGCCGCUCUCAAAACCCUCAACAUCGGGAGUAAUAUUAGGGUUAAGGUUAGUGGUAACCCUAGCGCUUUGUGUAAACGCCGCAGUGUUUCUUGCGGGGGAAGUAUCCAUGACAGUAGUAAUACCUGCAGCAAGCCCCGAAGGAGAUGCCAAGUUCCUCGAGGGUUUUAUGCUAGAGUUGCCCGAGUUUGAAGCGUUCCGUGGUGGAGUGUGAUGAGAGAAGUUGGUCGAGAUCACAGGGAGAUUGAGUGCCGACCUAUCCAGACGGCUGUAAUCCAUGAAGAAGAAAACGAAGUCGGCGAACUAGGGUUUCGCACGUUGAGGAAAAUUGCUUCAUCAUUUCUGGGACAUAGGAAAUAUUAAAUAAGUCUAAAUUGAUGAAAUAUGGAGUAGAUUAAGAGAUGUAAGGAGUGAGAAAAGAGAACGAAUUCUUUAAUUUUUAUAUUGGGGAGUACUUUUUAAUCUUAAUUAGGGGUGUAAUCGAACCGAGCCGAACCGAAUAGUGGUGUGCUCAAGUUUGAUUUUUCUAGUUUCGAAUCGAAUUCCGAACUUUGUUCAUCGAAUACUUUGAGGCUCACGAGUUUAAUCGAGCCUAUACGAACUUUCUAAAUAUAUAUUUAUAUUCAAAAUAUUAAUUAUUUACUUUUGAAAAUAAAUUAUUUCAUUCAAAAUAAUAAAUAUACUAUUAAUUAUUUUCUUAUGAUAAACAGAGUUAAUUAGAGAUUUAAUACAAUUAUCAUUAAUUUUAGUGGAUAUUUAAGUUGUACCUACUAAUAAUUUAUAUUUUUCAAGCUAAAUCACUUUACAAACUUGUUCACGAGCUAACAAGCCGAAUACUACCAAGCUCAAGUUUGGUUCGUUUAUUUAUCGAACUUUUCUAAACAGUCUUUUUUAAGCUGAGCUCCGAAUAGUUCACGACCAGCUUAGUUUGUUUACAGCCCUAAUCUUAAUGAAAAAACUUAAAAUAUUUUAUAUUUUUUUGAUACGGAAUGAGUACUAAUUAAGAAACUUCAAGGGUUAUUCUAAUGUGAAUAUUAGUCAAUAGUUAUGCUCAUCUAUACUAUAUUUUAUCUGUCACACAAAAUUAUGUGCAAUUUAAUUAUAAUUUUUGUACACUCAAUAAACUAUUCAUUUUUUUUUUGAACAUUAACCCACCACAAACCCCUUAUUUUUUAUCCAUCAAUUUAUUCAUAAAAAAAAACCACUCACAAUAAAGUGAUACUCAUUCUCCUUUCACAAUAAAGUAGAACCCAUUAUCUAAUCAUAACACAUUCACCUAAUAUUUCUUAAAACUAGUGUCAUAAAAAAUGUUGCAUGUUUUUGUGGGACGUAUGGAGUAUAUUAAAAAGAAUCUUCAAUUCAAAUAAAAUUUGAAAUUAUUUUCAAUGAUGUUAUAUUUUUUUUAAAAAUAAUAGUAGUUUAAUAUAUAUAAAAACUAAACUUAAAAAUAUUCUUGUGCAUUGCACCAAUAGAAGUACAAAUCGUUGAUAAUUAAAUUAAGGGUUAAUAGCAUGUAAAUUACUAAACUAUAGCCAAAUUCUGGUCUAGAUACCUCAAUUCAAAGUGUAUUAAGGAAAUUCCUAAACUAUUAAUUUGAUCUGAUUUAGUUACUCCGUAAAUUUUCCGGCGAAAAAUUGAUGACAUGGACAACUGAAAAUCGUAUGUGGAUACGCCGAACCUAAUCCUAAAACGUCAUCAUUUUUAUUUAAUAGGAUGUCUCUCUCUCUCUCUCUCUCUCUCUUCCUUCAACACUCAACGCACACUUCUCAGAUGCUUCCUUCCUCAACCAAUCACCGGCGCCCCUCAAUCUUCGGCGAGGCCGGACGACACCGGCUCUCCUCCCUGUUACCUCUCAACUAUCUCUCUCUCUUAGUUCACAUUCACGUCGCCCACACUUCUCCCUCACUUCCUUCUCGACUCCCUUCUUCGGGAACUGCAGCAGCGGCGAACUGAAGGAUUAUUAGCCCCAACGAGAUCGUUUCUUGGAUAUCUUAAUUUUCCAUACAACGAUUAAUCCUAACAUGCUCCUAUGAAUUUAAGUGCUGCACAUUGGAGCUAGAAUUACUUACUUGUAAACUGUAUGCAGAGGCUAUCGAUGAUUGAAUUGAACGACUCCAGCUCUGACCUUCUGAACUGUAUCCCGCUUAGCUUUCACCGUUGGAUGGACAUCGAGCUGUGAAAGUCCCAAGAGAGAAUUCUGCCUUUCACGCUAGCGCCGCUCUACUGUUCUCAAAACCCUAAUUUUUGUGUGUAUUUUCUGAGAGCAGACAGUUGUAUUUAAAUAAAUAAAUCACAACUGUGGGGCGCCAAUUAUUGUGUUGGGCGAAAUCUCUCCUGCUAGGGCAAGGAGACUUUGGGCCAGUCCAGGGACCAGAUACAAGGAAUAAAGAUGGGCCUCCAAUGAAUUAAUUUCUAUGAUCAGCCCAGAUCAUAAUAUUAAUUCAUAAGUAUUAAUUCAUUCCACUAGAGAAUCAAUACUGACUUACCCCUUUAUUGCCAGUGAUGAGUCGGGGCUUGUAUUUAGACUUAUUAAAUCUCCGUAUUUAAAAUAUUCGACAUCCAUUAAUUAAUUAGAGCUCUGACAGCUUAAAUUAAUUAAUCUCUUUGUAAUCCUUAAGCAGUACCAAUCAAACCUUAUUAUUGUGCCUGAACUUAAUCAACCUGCAGGGUUUAACGCAAUAAACCUUAUUGAGCUCCUUAAGGGGAUGUCAUUAUCCUAUACCGGAUACGGGUACUAAUACAGAUAACCAAAUAUCAUAUAUUGACCGCUAUCACCCAAGAUACAGAGUACUCAAGUUACUAUAUAACUCUCACCCAUAGUAAGUCAAAGUGAUAUACGAAUCAACAUAUAUAUUUGAAAUCUUAUUAGUAUUAAGAUUCUAUUAAGUCACCGAGAUCUUGAUUCUUCACUUAAGUCAGACAGAAGAAUACAUCUCACUGUGGUCCUAUCAAUACAUUAUGACGUACCAGUAUAGACAAGUAGUCAAGACAAACUAGUUCCAUCUAUACCGCAGCCUAAACCAAUGACUCAUCCUAAAGUCAUCUCGACUGUGAUCAUUUUAUAUCUCUUAAGGUUAUUCCAAUUAUAUGGUCUUCUGUGAUCUACAACACACCAUAUAAUCUACUUAUAAAGAGAUAGGGAACAUACAUAUGCAAUCAUGAACACAAUCAGAUAGGAGAUUAAAUAGUGAACACAAGAAUCAUUGUAUACAAGCAUAAAACGUUCUUGCUUUCAGUAUACAAAUCCAACACGAACCGCCGCCACCAACUCACUCCCCGACUCAACCCCAAGUGCGGGACCCUCAUAUGAACAUAGUUUACUCGACUCUCUACCUCUCUACAGAAUCGCACCCAAUCGCCCGGAUAUUAAGUAGCGGCGGCGCCUCUGCUUCCAUCUGGGCGAAGGUGCCACCCCAUAAAGCACCGCCUAUUUGCGGCGGCGCCUCUGAUUCAAUUCGCUCUUGCAGAUGAUGAGGAUUGAGGCAAGGAUUACGUUGACCACGAAGAAGCUUGCGAUGGCUGCAAGAAUUGCUUGAAGGUUUUGAUCCAUGAGAAAACAAAUUAAGCGAUUAAAUUUGCAGAUAUGUUGGAAAUUAAGAAAAUUAAGCGAUUGAAUUUGCGGAUAUGUUGGAAAUUAAACAAAUUAAGCGAUAGAAUUUGCAGGAGAUGGACUCUUUGUAUUUAUUACAACCACACAAAAUUAAAUCGAGAGAGAGAAAGAGAUGGGUUGGUCCGCAGCAGCAGUCGUUUACAGAAGACAUCCAGAUGAAACUCCUCAACCGGGAAUUUGCCCCUCUUCUCUGAGAGAAAGGCCGUCGAGAAUUAUCGGUAAAUAUUCAACAACGUGUGAUACUAUUUUCCCGUCUUCGCCUUCGGCAUCGGCUUCGUCGAUGUAUUACUUCGGCUGCCACUCCGCCUCUUCUUCCGCUGGCCCGCGGCCACAGUCAACGGCGUGGGUGGCGUCCGAUGUCAUGGAUUCCAUUUAUGUGGCAUUGGGCGGCGGCAGCAACGGCUUGAAGAAGAGUAGGUCGAUGAUGAAUUAUGCUCCGGUGAGAGACAACAACGUUAACUCUUUGCUUCGUUUUUUUAUUUUAUUUUUUUAAUCAAAUGUAGAAAAGUAAAUGACACAUGGACGCCAUGUGUAACUUUGAUCCAGUUGGAUGACACAUGGACGUUAACUUGGUUCCAGCACAACUUUAAAUAGACACGUGUAUAGAAUACCCAAAAUACCCUUGCCGGAAAAUGGCCAGAGUAACUAAAUCAGAUCAAAUUAAUAGUUUAGGAAUUUUCUUAAUACACUUUGAAUUGCGGUGGCUAUACCAGAAUUUGACUAUACUUUAGUAAUUUACAUGCCAUUAACCCUUAAAUUAAUUAGACAAUUACAAAGGAACAUUAAUAUGAUAAUUAAUUUGGGGUACUCAAAAGCGACAAGUUUGGGUCAAUAUUUUGUUAACAUUAUGUAGCAGUUGUUCCUAUAACAUAAUAUUAUAGGCACGCAAUAGUUGCUAUUAAUCUAUGAGAUUAAGAGAGGUGAAACCCUAACCAUGCGAAACCCUAACCUGCGAAACCCUAAUUCACCGUAAAAUUUUUGUUCGUUUUCUGAUUGUCUGUCCGAUGGCUGCCGCCGGAAGUCAACCGCUUCGCACAUCUGGUGGCGGACUAAAUCUACCGCCAGUCUCCUCGAAUUUCUCCCUGCCCUCGCCGCCUUCAAAACUUGGGCAUGAAGGCAAUAAAUCUUCUACGACUUCUACUGCAUCUGGCUCUGCUGUUGUGUCUGCGGCGGUUCUAUCUGCUGCUGUUACUGGUGCAGCACAUGCUGCCGUUACUCAUCCAGGAGAGAUGGAGUCUAAUCGUGAUAUUACUACUCUUUCCGAUCGCGAUCCGCUGCGUAGGAAAAAUUUGGUUGGUAGUUCUGCCGGAGAGGACAAAGCUCGAUCCUAUGCGGACAUGGCGACCAAUCGCGCCCCUAAAAGGCCGAACCUUCCAGCUCAUCGGUUCCAGGCCUUACAUCCCACAAAAGAGGGUCACUCGUUUACUUUUAAACCUCCUAAGGAUAUGCUGCUUAAGGACCGAGCUGAUUUUGCUAACGCCCUUACUGGACGUCUUCUUCUCAAGUAAGGUGAGAAGCCUAGGCAUGUGUUGGCGGUUAAGAAUGAAUUGCAUCGUAUUUGGAGUAUCGCAGCACCUUGGAAAUUGAUUCCGAUCGGCAAAGGGUACUACACUAUGGUGUUCUCUUCUGCUGAAGAUAAAGCUUGAGCUAAAGAGAAACUCAUCUGGGAAGUCUUUGGAGAGCUUCUUCGUCUGAGGGAAUGGAACAAAAAUUUUGAUCCGUUUAAGGAACAUUCCUCGCUGGCUAACGCGUGGGUCAGGAUUCAUUAUCUUCCGAUUGAAUAUUGGUACGCGAAAAUUCUCACUGGCAUUGCAAGAUUUGUGGGACAUCCGCUUAAAAUUGAUGGGGCCACGGUGCAAAGGGAUUUUGGGUAAUAUGCUCGACUAUUGGUGGAACUAGAUAUGUCAAAAACCCUUCCCACAUCUCUUCUCAUUGACGGGGGAGACGUGUCUUUUCAUGUUGAAUUCACUUACGAAUAUUUACCUUUAUAUUGUUCCAGGUGCAAACAAACGGGGCACGCUACGGAGAAAUACCGCAAGGGCAAGCAGAGAGAGGAAAAUCCAGCUGAUAAGAAUACGCAGCCUGUUACUACCAAGGCAUGGCAGCCUGUUACGGUGACAGAGCAAGUUGAAAAAAAUGUGGGUCAGAUUCAACGGCGCGAGGAUGUUGACGCUAAUGGACUGAUGCAGCGUCAGGCUACUGUUUAUUUGUCUUUUGAAUAAAAAGCAUGGAUUUAUUUUGAGAUAUGAGUUAUUGAAGGUGUUAGUUUGUGUGAUGUUGGAAAUUUGAAGUUUAUGAAGUAAGUGGGGAUUUGAUAAGAAUAUGAGCUUAUGAGAUUGUAGGUAUCAUAGUUGAGGGAUUAAAAUGAUGAUUAGAAAUGAUUGAUAAAGAUUAUGAUGAAUUGGUUUGAUGGAAAAUAAGGUAUACUUGGCUAUAUGUUUAAGAUUGGCUAAUUGAUGAGUUAAUUGGCUAGCUUACAAAGCUACUGACUUGAUUGAAUUCGACAGGGUUAUUGAUACCCAAAAAUCUUGAAAAGUUUAUGGUAAGUAUAUAUAAGUGUCAGUAACGCUCAUGAAAAAUUUGAAGUCAUUUGGACAUCGUUUGAUACCCUUUUAAAUUAUAAAUCUUCAACUGCAACUUUCUACCAAAAGUUUGGAAGAAACAGAUACUAGAGUCACCUUUCCAGUAGCUUCCCCUGAGUUUAUGGUUUCCAAAUUUUUAUAUGAACAAGAUGAACAUGUUAGCUAGCUACCCACAAACUUUCAAGUCAUUUUGACAAGAUCUACUAUUUUUCAAAAAUCAAAACUUCCAGUUGCACAAAACUGCCGAAUAUGGUAGGCUGUAGGAAAAUGGUCAUAUCUCCUGAACCACUUAGAGUUUUGCAACCUACUUUUUUUUAAAUGAAACUAGACUUCAAGAGGUUUCAAUUGGUAUGAAUUCCAAACCCAGGGAAGUUCCGAGGUAAAACAGUUUAUUGCUUGAAGUUGGGACAGAGUAUAUGAGGGCUAGUAAUAGGCAUUCACAACACUCCUACCUUUGAUUUAUUAUAAUUGCAUGUGUUAAUGGCGAUAACUAUACACCGUAUUAAUUCAUAAAAAUGCUAUGGAGUAUAUAUAUAUAUAUAUAUAUAUAUAUAUAUAUAUAUAUAUAUAUAUAUGAAACUUUUUCCGAGUUUAAUUUACUUAACCGAAUUUGGUUUUUUCUUGAAGUUAUUUAAUCACAUAAUUGUGUCAUUUAGUAUUAUGUGAAUUAUCGAGAAUGUAUUAAAGAAUGUGUUAUAAUGCCAUAACUUAAGUAUGUGAUUGUUAGAUGCUAUCUGGGUUUGAGUAUCUAGGAUUUUGUUCCUUAAUGGACUGUUUAGACUUAAAAAUUUGGUGAUGAGUCGAGAGUAGAAACGGUGAACAUUUAAGAAGUAUUAUUAUUAUAAGAGUGAUUAUUUAUAAGGUACCAAUGAGAAACGAAGAGUAGAAAUAAGAUGAGAACAGUGAACUUAGUGAGGAUUUGUCUGAUCGACGUUUAUCUUAUUACAUGAACCAUCUACGCCAAUGAUGAUACCUGAAGACACGAGUCGAGGGCAUAAGUAAGAUUUCUCCAAAGUACGAGAACCGAAGCUAGGAUUUUCAGGUAGGCAUUACUUUCUAAUACCCCUAUUACUGGCUUUCUAAAUGAUGAUUAUGAUGAUGUUUAUAAGUUUUUAAAAUGAUUUGAGAUAAAUUGAUGUUUGAACUAAUUAACUUGCCGAGUUUUGAUGACGAUGAGCCUGUACGUUACCCUCUACGGAAGAAACGAUUUUGGGUCCUGCCAAAGGCGGGAUUGUGUACACGGAGGUAACCGUGAGCUGUAUACCGAGUUGGCCGGUCAGAAAUGACUGUGAGCCGAUUGUCAGGUCGGCCGGUUACGGUGCUUGAGAAGGAGGCCUACUUCUCAGUACCUUGAUGAUGAUGAGUUGUAGAAGUGGUACUACAUGCUAAGUAUUUGUGACUGCAGUCUAUCUUUCUUUACUUUAUGAUGCUUAUAAUUUAUCAAUUACUUACAUGGGUUCUUUUGAGUAAAACCCCUGUGUAGAGUAUAAAUGGCAAGUUUAAUUUUUAGCUCUAAGAGCGAGAUUGUUUAUUUUCGGCUUAUGUCCACUGAGUAUUUUAUACUCAGCCCUGCAUGUAUUUCUAAAUGUGCAGGAUGAGCAAGGAGAGAGAUUGGGGGACCGCUGGAGGGUUGUUGUUUCUAGACGACUUUUGAGUACCGUAUUCUGCUCCUAUACGGUAGUAUGAAUAGUUGAAGACUAUGUCCUUUGAACUUAAUUAGGAUUGUCACUCUCAGCUAUAUGUCUUCAUACAUAUAGUCUGAUCACGUUUUGCUGUGCUACCCUGAUCAAUUUGAAUCUUUGUAAAUAUUUAGCUAUACUCCCUUUGUUUUCGUUGACUAGAACCCUGAUACAUUUGAAUGUAUGAAGCCGACAAUAUUUCUAUUAAGAUUGAUGAUAUUCUAUUUGCUUGAGCAUGAAUUGUUAUUAGCUUCCGCUUGAUGAGUCACAUAGUUUUCCUUGUUUUACCAUAUCAUUUUAUUAGUCGUAUCGAUACCCGAUCUACGCUAUCACUGGCUAGAUGUCGGGCUGCGAUAGUAGCUCUGGGAGAUCGCGCUUAGGUGACUUCUAAAACUUAAUGCUCGCGCUAAGCCAGCAUUGGGAUCCGGCUUAUGCAGCUGCUCGCGCUAAGCCAGCUCUGGGACUUCUAAAGCUUAAUGCUCGCGCUAAACCAGCAUUGGGAUCUGACUUAGGCAGCUGCACGCGCUAAGCCAGCUCUGGGAGCUUGAACUUAGGCAGCAUCUAAAAACUUAACUUUAACAAUUUUUUAUCCCUAAAAAAUAGGAUAUGAAUAGCAAUAUACUCCCUCCGUCCAUGAAAGAACUUUCUAGGAGGGAGUGGCACGGGUUUUAAGAAAAAAUAUUAUUGAGUGUAUUGAGAGUGGAUAAAAGGUAGUUGAGUGUAUUGAGAAUGGUGAAAAGGUGUUAUAAUUAAUAUUGGGAGUUGUGAAAAGUGAAAGUAAGAGAAUUAUAAGUGGUGGGGUAUAGUCCAAAAAUAGGUAGGAAGUUCUUUUGUGGACGUCCCAAAAAUGAAAGAUAGGAAGUUCUUUCGUGGACGGAGCGAGUAUAAGGUAUAUAUGGGGUAUACACCCUACUCCCCCGCAGUGUUGUGGAUGUACUUUAGAAGUCAAACACGAUGGUUCCACAGCCUUGCGAUUCUUGAUUGUUCAAAGAUAAGUAUCCUGCUGAAAAUGAAGAGUAAAAUCGAACACCACGGGUAAUUACCCUAAAACCAAGAAUCUCAUUUUAUUAAAGAAACUUGGUCCCAAACCUCAUUAAAACCCUAUGGGGAAAAAGAGUAUUUGGUCUACAACGAUAAGUCAGAGCUGUCGAAUUUUCAAGCAUAAAAUCUCUUCAAAGUAUUGAUGUCCAAGGCUGAGUGAAUGGCCUCCUUUCACUGUCGGAUAAAUGAUACGCUCCAUCUCCCAACACUUCUGUUACCAUUAAAGGACCUUCCCAAGUGGGAUCAAACUUCUUAGCUGGAUGUAGUGCGUCAGCCCGUUUCAAUACCAGAUCUCCCGUGUUGAACUUUCUGACCACCACUUUCUUGUCGAACCUUGCUUUAAUGAUACUCUUAUACUUUGCAGCCCUGAGAACAGCUUCGUCCCUAUGUAAGUCGAUAAGAUCCAUGUCUAAUCGACGCAGCUCAUCAUUCCGGAUAAGAUCGUAAUGCAGAAUCCUAUGCGAGGCCAAGCGCACCUCUGCCGGUAUGACAGCGUUGGACCUAUACACCAGUGUGAAUGGCGCCUCCCCUAUGGCAGUUUUUGGGCUGGUUCGGUGAGCCCACAGAACACCAUCCAGCUCUUCCGCACAUCUCCCUUUACUUUUUUCCAGUCACAUUUCAGCCCUUCACAAAUGGUGCGGUUGGUAAGCUCUUACGUGGCCAUUGGCCUGUGGGUGAGCCACAGAGACAAAUCUUUGGACUAUAUCCAUCCGAUGACAAAAUUCUUCUAUUCUUUUUUCGGUGAACUGUAAUCCAUUAUCGGAGACGAGUACCCUCGGCGACCCGUAUCUACAACAAAUAUUCUGCCACAAGAAUCUCUCGAUAGUGCAUUCAUCGAUUUUUGACACUGCCUCGACCUCCACCAAUUUGGAGAAAUAAUCGACCGCUACAAUGAGGAAACAUUUUCCUCCAUGUGCAGUAGGGAGUUUUCCCACUAUAUCAAUUCCCCACUUGUCGAAGGGACAAGUGGCGUACAUGGUUCCCAUGGUCUCUCCUGAAACAUUGAUGCGUGGAGCAUAUUUCUGGCAGACUUGACAUCUUUAAACAAAGCUCUUAGCGUCAUCUCCGAUUGUUGUCCAAUAAAUUCCAGCCCUGACAAUCUUUCUCAUUAUGUCCUUAUACCCUGCAUGAUUUUUGCAGCAGCCCUGGUGAAUUUCUUUGACGAUAAAUUGUGCCUCCUCCGGGGAUAAACACUUCAACAAUGGGUGAGUGAAAUACCUCUUGUACAAUUGAUCAUUGAUCAUGCAAUAUCUGCCGUAAAGGCAGCGCUGGGAUAUGACCGAGUCCAACCGCUCUCCCGUUCAUAAGAAAUGGAUGAUAGGGGUUCGCCAGUCCUCCUUCACCUCCACGCUAAGUACACCCUGUUUUCCCUCUGAGCUGGCUUCGAAGAGUAGAGUUACUGAAUCCGUCAUGCUGUACUCGACCGCACUGGCCAUACGUGCCAGAAGGUCACCCCUGUUAUUAUGUUCUCUGGGUAUUUGCUCAAUGCAACAGUCUUGAAAUUUAGCCAUCAACUCCUUAGCUCGGAUAUGGUAUGCAGCCAUCCUAUAAUCCCAGAUAUCAUACUCUCCCAACAACUGUUGUACCACCAACUGUGAGUUGGAUUUCACAUGUACUGAUUCAGCACCUAGCUCUGCCAAGAUUUUUAACGCUUUAACCACUGCCUUGUACUCGGCCUCAUUGUUGGACAGACGAUGUUCAUAUUUGAUAGCAAAUUAUAGAUCAUCAUUCGUAGGGGAUUGGAUAUGUAUGCCUACCCCGCAUCCAUCUUUGGUGACGGAUCCGUCGAUCGACACCCUCCAGGGUUGCUAUUUCUCUGCUCUGGUGGUUUNCUGGCUUCGAAGAGUAGAGUUACUGAAUCCGUCAUGCUGUACUCGACCGCACUGGCCAUACGUGCCAGAAGGUCACCCCUGUUAUUAUGUUAUCUGGGUAUUUGCUCAAUGCAACAGUCUUGAAAUUUAGCCAUCAACUCCUUAGCUCGGAUAUGGUAUGCAGCCAUCCUAUAAUCCCAGAUAUCAUACUCUCCCAACAACUGUUGUACCACCAACUGUGAGUUGGAUUUCACAUGUACUGAUUCAGCACCUAGCUCUGCCAAGAUUUUUAACGCUUUAACCACUGCCUUGUACUCGGCCUCAUUGUUGGACAGACGAUGUUCAUAUUUGAUAGCAAAUUAUAGAUCAUCAUCCAUAGGGGAUUGAAUGUGUAUGCCUACCCCGCAUCCAUCUUUGGUGACGGAUCCGUCGACCGACGCUCUCCAGGGCUGCUGUUUCUCUGCUCUUGUGGUUUCCUGCACGAAAUCUGCCAGAGCUUGUGCUUUGAUGGCUGUUCGCGGCUCGAAAUCCACAUCAUGUUCACUUAACUCAAUUGCCCACUUCACCAUCCGACCCGAUAGGUCCGGCCGUCCCAGAGUUUGUUUGAAUGGCAAUGAUGUACGCACAAUAACUCUGUGUGCCAAGAAAUAUGGUUGCAACCUUCGGGCUGUGGUUAAGAUAAUUAGUGUUGACCGCUCGAUUUCGGAAUAAUUCAGCUCUGCCCCUUGUAAUAUCUUGCUGACGAAAUAAAUUGGUUUUUAUUGCCCCCGCUCUUCCCUAAUGAGGACCGAUCCCAAUGAUUCUACCCCCACUGCAAUAUACAGAUAUAAAGUUUCCCUGGGGUUAGGCUUGGUAAGCAUUGGCAGCUCUGCCAAAUAUCUCUUUAGUUGUUCGAAGACCUGUUGACAGCCCUGAGUCCAUUCAAACUUUGUCCAUUUCCGCAAGAUCUUAAAGAAAGGUAAACUUCUGUUGGCUAGGCGGGAAAUAAACCGUCCGAUUGUCGUGAUUCCCCCAUUCAAUGUUUGUACUUUCUUGAUGUUCCUUGGUGGUGUAAUGUUCACAAUAUAUAGCUUGCACCUUGUCCUUGUUUACCUCUAUGCCCUGUGGAGUUACCUGAUAUCCCAAGAACUUUCGCUUGCUGAUCCCAAACGUACAUUUAUUCGGAUUUAACAUCAAUUUCUGCUGACGGAUGACAACGAAGACCUCUUCCAGAUCUGAAGGAUGUGACGCGGCAGCUCUGCUCUGAACCAUCAUGUCGUCCACAUAAACUGACAUGGUUUGCCCGAUCUGGUUUUGAAAGAUUGUAUCCAUCAUACGGUGGUAAGUGGCUCCAGCGUUUUUAGCCCAAAUGGCAUUCUAGUGUAACCGAAAAUACCGCAACAAACUGCGAAUGAGGUUCUGGCGAUAUCAUCCGGAUGCAUACUAAUCUGAUGAUAUCCCUGGAAGGCAUCCAUCAUGAAUAAUUAUUCACAACCGGCGGUUGAGUCAACUAGCUGGUCUAUGCGCGGCAAAUGGUAGCAGUCUUUUGGACAAGCUGUGUUCAAGUCUCGAUAAUCCACACACAUUCGUCAUUCCUUCUCCUUUUUUUCGACCAUCACCGUGUUUGAUAACCAAAUGGGAUAUUGUACCUCAACUAUGUGGCCUGCCUUUAACAAAGCUUUCACUUGCUCCUUAAUUGCCGCAUCCUUCUCUGGCCCGAAGUGUCUUGUUUUCUGAAUAACUGGCUUUCUUGUAGGAUCCACAUUCAAACGAUACUUUGCCAAUAUUCGGUCUAUCCCCUUCAGGUCUGUCGUAGUGAAAGCAAACACAUCUGCAUUACGCAGAAGACAUUCUAUCACCUCUCUUUCCAGAACUGGGGACAUUUUGGUGCCCACUCGUGUAGUAAACCUUGUUUUUCCAGGAAAUAAUUCCACCAGCAUGCAUCUAUCAUCAAUUGACAUCGUAGGUUGUUUGUCGGGAUUCCUCCCGAUCUCCUCGAUCUCAGCCUUUUCUGUCACGUUUCCUGAGCUACCCUCACUUUUGGAACUCUUCUCCAUUAACCCACUUUGCUCGCUCUGAGCUCGUUUAUGUCCAGCCUAGGAUGUUAAGCUUAGCACGAAGCAUUCCUUGGAGGUAACCUGGUUCCCGACGACCUCCCCCAUACGACCACCUUCUAACGAGAAUUUCAUCCUUAGAUGGUACAUAGAAAUUACAGCUUGGAAAACAUUCAGUGGUAGCCUUCCCACGAUGAUGUUAUAGCUCAGUUUUGGGAAAUCAACCACUAAGAACUUGAAAAUCAUGGUCCGUGAAGCUCCCGCCUUUCCCCACGUCAUUGGUAGUUCUAGAGAUCCCAAGGGUGUAAUGGAUUCUCCGGUAAAGCCAUACAACGGAUUACCUGGCGGCUUCAGAGUAGCAUUUAAAGCCAUGGUCGUCAAACAAUCUUUGUAGAUUAUAAUGACAACACUCCCAUAAUCCACAAAAAAUGUAGUGAACAGUGUAGUUGGCCACGUCUGUUGAGAAAACUAAUGCAUCGUUGUGUGGGUGGAUAAGCUCUGCAUGAUCCUCCGGCCCAAAAGAAAUGUUCGGCUCCUUCACCGCAUUGCGCACAGUCAUGACAUGGCUCGACGGAGUUCCAGCUCUCCAUGAGCAAACGAUCUGCUUCCAUGCUCUAUUGGACAUAGGUCCAUUUUCCUCCCCGAUUAUCAUAUGUACUUGUCUUUUUUCCCCUCGAGGUGGGGUGGCAGCUCUGCGAUCACCCCCUUGGUUCAUUUGAUUUCUCUCCGCCCUGGUGUUACAAUUGUUGUCUUGCAGAUGUAGGGGGCGGCGUUUGUUUCACGAAUUGGUCCAAUCUCCCCUGCCUGGUUAAUAUCUCCAAUUGGUGGCAAAGGUGUCCACAGUAUUCCGUAGGGUGCCCAUAUGAUUAUUGAAAGAUCCGUCUGCUCUUAUAAACAUAAAAUUCGUAGCAACCAAAAAUGGUACCAAACGAAAUACCAAAGCACAACAGAUUUGCAUAAAAGAAUUAAACGCGAACACACGAAAUUGGUAACCCAGUUCGGUGAUAGAACACCUACGUCUGGGGGGCCUCGCCCAGGGAAAACGAUUCACUAUGUGAGGUUAAAUUACAGCAGGACUUAUACAAAGACUCAAUCUUUCUAACGCCUCUAUAAUUUCCCAAAACCCCAACACACGAUAAACCGUUGAAAGCUAGAUAACACCAACUCUCUAAGUAUGAACCCCGACGAUCACACUUAAUCCCACACAACCACAAACUUCAACUCUCAAAGGAGAUUAAUGAAAAUACCUUGCUAGCAACAAUCACAAAAGCAAGGUAAAAAGAACGAGAACAUAAACGCUAACCAACAAGGUUCUUUUGCUCAAGGUGUUGCUCCCAAAGACUGCUGAAUAGAAUGCACGAAAAUCACCAGUAGAACCCUAGCUGCAGGAAACGUUUGAUAUUUAUAUGAGAGAUAUCAAAGUUUCCUUUAAUGAUGAGGACUCCUAUUCAAAAGACUUGCAAAGCAAACCAAAACAUGCCCAAAGAUCUUCUCCGAUAAGGACUCAAAAAGGGAAACAAAAUCUUCAAGAUAUGAGCAUAUCUUCAAAAGAAUUUCCAAGAAAAAUCGUCAGCAGGACAGGCAGCACUUUUGGUAGCUCUUCUGGUAUCAAGACCAAAACUAUAUAAAUGACAAUUAGAAUAGAGUAUCAAACUCUAACAUUCUCCCCCUUUGUCAUUUAUAUAGACAAAACAUAUAUUGCUUCAGCACAUGAAAGAACAGCAAGCUCUCCCUCAAAGAAUGAACUCCCCCUUAACUGGAAAACUCCCCCUCAAAAUAACACAACCAACAUCGGACUAAGCACAUGAGUAGUUAAGCUCAACACUUCUAGCAACAAGGAGCUAAAGAGCUAAAAUAUAUAAGCUCAAGGUCAGAGAUACGAACCAAACGGAAUCCAAACAUAAGGCACUCCAACACACACAACGCCAAAACAUAUGCUUCCUCCUCAGCCUCAUUCAUAAGCUUUUCUCCUCACGAAAUAAACUCCCCCUUGCUUCGAGAACUAGAACCAGACACCUACACGCAAUGUGUCAUACAUACGCCUCCAACAACCAACGCACUGCACAAACAACUUCUCCCCCUUUUUGUCUGGAUAAAUGACAAAAUCUCAGAUGGAGACGGAGGCGAAGGCAGAGUCUUCAUGAGUAAUUCCCUUUUCAGCACAAAAAUUAUCAAAAGCCGAAUUUUCAACUCCUCUGCCAUGAUUACUUCGGAUCUGUUUGAUCUGCAAAUCUUUAUCCUUCUUAAGUAUAACAUUUUCCAAUCGUGGAAGACCUGGUAAAUUUAAAGUUCCAGUACCAAUAACUUUAUCUUGAGCUCUACCACCAAAAGUCACACCUUCAUCUGUAAUCGAAUGAUUAUGUACCACAUAGCUUCUGUGAUUCUUGAAGUUUGGUUUCCUGAAAUCUUUGGAGUUAGCUCUUCUGGCAGCAAUAAGGAAUCUGCAUCUCGGUCUUAUAUGGCCUCGCCUUUGGCAAUAGUGACAAACAGGAACAAACUUUGCCACAGGAUCUCUUUGAGGAGGCAGAUUAUGAUAUGAAACUGGAACUACAUGCUUAACCUCUUUUCCAGAUCUUUGAGUAAACUGAUGUUUCGAUUCAUUCACACGUGGAUGGCUAUGUUGAGUUCUUUGAAUUUGAUCCUUGGAAACCCAUUGAUUCUUUUGGAAUCCAAUACCAGCCUUGUUACCAGAUUUUUGACCUGUGUCCACCCUUUGACUCUUAUGGAAACCAAGUCCAGCCUUGUUAUCUGAGUUUUGGCCUGUUUCCAAGAUUUCUUCAAGUUUCUCCGUGCCCUUAUUCAUCAUCUUCACCAACUUUUGAAAAUGUUCCAACUCCUUCACUUUGAGAUCCAUGGUUUGCUGUUGAAUGUUAGCAUCACUUUGAAGUUUUUCCACCAGUAACUUCAGUUCAUCGCGUUCUUUGGUAACAUCAGAGAGCUGAGAUGAUAAAGAUUUGUUUAACUCCAGCACUCCUACACAUUUUUUGUGCAUGAUCUCAUAGUUCUUAGCCAAGUAAUCUCCAGCAGCUUCUUCGGUAUCUAGGUCAGUAUCUUCAUCGUCAAUGCCUGAGUCUGUUACUGAGAGAUGUGUGUCUUCUUUUGUGGCAGUGAGAGCAAUCGUCCUAUCAGUGAAAUCAUCCUUCUCAACAGGGGGAAAAGAUCAACAAAGAUAUUCUGAGUUUGUAAAGCUUCUAUUUUGGCAAGGAGAGCAAUGGAUUCCUCAUCAGAUUCGCUUCCACUUUCAUCAGUCUCCUCGUCACUCAGUGAAGCUUAAAAGACUUGUUUUUGCUUUGGAGCUUCUUUAAAGUAUUUGCGCACUCAGCCUGUAUGUGACCAAAUCCAUGACACUCGUGGCAUUGUAUUCCGGAUCUAUGAGAGGAUUUUUUAUCAAUCUCAUUCGAAUUUCCAGUAACUCCCCUGGAGUUAUUAAAAUUCUUUGAAUUUCCACCUUUUUUCUUGAAUUUGUUGAAAGCUUUUCCAAAGUUUUUGGUGAAGAGAGCUAAAGAUUCCACAAGAUCAUCUUGAUCAUCAAUUGAAGAGUUUGACAUCUUGUUAUUUGAUUCGGCAGCGAAAGCUAUACUCUUCUUCUUACCAGAUUUGUCACCUCUGAGGUUCAUCUCAAACGUUCUUAGAGAUCCUAUCAACUCCUCGAGUUUCAUAUCAGAGACAUCUCUUGCUUCAUCAAUAGCAGUAAUCUUGUAGUCAAAACGUUUUGGCAACGAACGCAUCACCUUACGAACCAGUUUUUCUUCAGAAAUCCUUUCACCAAGAGAGAAGCUUUCGUUAGCAAUGCGCAACAAAUUAGCAUGAAAGUCACUAAUAGUUUCAUCCUCCUCCAUCUUGAGCUCCUCGAAUCUACUGGUCAGUUGUUGUAGACGCUGCUUCUUGACCUUCGAGUUUCCUUCAUAAGUGUUGACAAGAACAUUCCAUGCUUCUUUGGCUGAAGAACACAUAGAGAUAAGAGUGAAAACGUCAACUGUAACAGCAGUUUGAAUAGAGUUAAGAGCCUUUUGAUUAGCACUAGAGGCAUUUAGAUCCUGUGCUGUCCACUUGCUUCUGGGUUUGACAGCUCCAUCAUCACCUUUGGGUGCAGUCCACCCUAACUCAACGGCACUCCAUGCAUUCUCAUCCACAGAACGAAUGAAUGAUUCCAUGCGCAUCUUCCAAUAUCCAAAAUUGGUUCCAUCAAGUAGAGGUGGUCGAACAACGGAUCCACCUUCUCUCUGAGUAGCCAUCGAACACUCGAACAGUACCACGGAACAGACGGCAAAAAUGCAGGAUCAAAACCUAUAAAGCAGGUAACCCGCUCUGAUGCCAAUUGAAAGAUCCGUCUGCUCUUAUAAACAUAAAAUUCGUAGCAACCAAAAAUGGUACCAAACGAAAUACCAAAGCACAACAGAUUGCAGAAAAGAAUUAAACGCGAACACACGAAAUUGGUAACCCAGUUCGGUGAUAGAACACCUACGUCUGGGGGGCCUCGCCCAGGGAAAACGAUUCACUAUGUGAGGUUAAAUUACAGCAGGACUUAUACAAAGACUCAAUCUUUCUAACGCCUCUAUAAUUUCCCAAAACCCCAACACACGAUAAACCGUUGAAAGCUAGAUAACACCAACUCUCUAAGUAUGAACCCCGACGAUCACACUUAAUCCCACACAACCACAAACUUCAACUCUCAAAGGAGAUUAAUGAAAAUACCUUGCUAGCAACAAUCACAAAAGCAAGGUAAAAAGAACGAGAACAUAAACGCUAACCAACAAUGUUCUUUUGCUCAAGGUGCUGCUCCCAAAGACUACUGAAUAGAAUGCACGAAAAUCACCAGUAGAACCCUAGCUGCAGGAAACGUUUGAUAUUUAUAUGAGAGAUAUCAAAGUUUCCUUUAAUGAUGAGGACUCCUAUUCAAAAGACUUGCAAAGCAAACCAAAACAUGCCCAAAGAUCUUCUCCGAUAAGGACUCAAAAAGGGAAACAAAAUCUUCAAGAUAUGAGCAUAUCUUCAAAAGAAUUUCCAAGAAAAAUCGUUAGCAGGACAGGCAGCACUUUUGGUAGCUCUUCUGGUAUCAAGACCAAAACUAUAUAAAUGACAAUUAGAAUAGAGUAGCAAACUCUAACAAUUAUGAUAUUGACAGAGCAAACUAUUUGGCCCGGGCUUAAGAGCCCCAACUGUAGAGUCCCUUGGAGCUCUGAACCAAGGCUCGUUCUUGAUCAAAUAAAAAAUCUCUUCCUGGGGCUUGUUCAACAGUGUUUGAUCAGUGAGUCUAUUCACGUUGUGCACCACCUUGGACCCUUGUUCAUUCCGAGUGGGCUGAUAUGCCGGCUGCGUUUCUCCUUGCAUUACUUUGUGAGUGUAACACCCUAAUCUAAUUAAAGUAUUAAAUAUGAAUUUAAAUAACUUUUGACAGCGGAAGAUAAAAAUUUGAGCUAUAAAGAAAUUCAAAGAAGUAAAUUUUUUAAAAAAAUAUUUGAAAUAAAUUUGAAUUAAAAAGAAAGAUAGCCGUGACAGAAAGAUAAUAGGAUAAUAUUAAACUUGAUAAGUCAAACAAAAUCUCAAGAGUAGUUUGAGAUUCAAAAACUAUGCUAAGCAAAAUAUUAUGUGCAACUACAACAUUAUCUUUUCAAAAAGUGGCUAGACGCGUCCAUUCGAUCCUCUACGCGUCUCCAACGUCAAUUACCUGAAAAUGUUAAAUAUGAGAUGAGCAUAUGAAAUAUACUCAGUGUGAGAACAUACAAUAAUUAUCCAAAUUAAAAAAACGAUAACACAUACUGCCAUUUCAUACAUAUCAUCAAUUUGCAUUGUGGCAAUCCAAGGACUUUAAUGUCCCGGACCCUAUUCACGGGCCCCUGACGAUAAUAUAAUAGUUGCAACUAUAACUUUAACAUGUAAUCGCAUUGUGGCAAUUCAAGGUCCUUUCCGUCCUGGACCCUAUUUACGGGCCCCUAGCGAAUUCAUAACUUCAAAUCGCAUUGUGGCAAUCCAAUGACUGUGAUGUCAUGGACCCUAUUUACGGGCCCCUAGCGAUUAAUAUAAUUCAUAACACAUAUGGUAAACACAUAAUAUUAAAAUGAACAAAAAUUAACCACAACAUGUACUGAAAUAAAUUCCACACCUGUAACUUGAACUUUGAAAUUUAAACUGCGAGAAUUUAAAGUUCACGUCCUAAUUGCGCCACACCUAGUCAGAUAAAUUCAAAUAAUAAUACAUAAGGAACAGAUUGAACUUUACAAAAUAAUUUAAUAUAAAUAAACCUGAGAAGGUUAUCUAUAAAGUUUUAGAAAAUCUGAACUGAAAAUGAUAAUUAAAGGAGUAAUUUAUGAGCUUAAAUAAAUUAUAAUUGCUAGUUGUUAUUUAAAAGAAUAAUUAAAUCAAAAACCCAAUCCCUUUUAAUAAAAUUGGAGCCCAACCACUUAAUUAAUAUGAGCCCAUUUAUAAAUAAAUUAGUCUAGGCGCAAGCCCAAGCCCAUUUUUCUUCACCCAACACUCACACAACACGAACACAUACAGACUCACUACCCCUCCUUUUCUCCCUCUCAGCCUCCUACCGCCGCCACCGGACGGCCGCGCCGUCGUCGGAGGCCGGCGGGUCCUGCCUCCCUUCUCUCCCCCCUUCAACCUCUCUCUCUUUCCUCACCUCUAGUCUCCCUCUCACUCCCGCACCCAACAGCGGCGUCCACCCUUCUCCGGCGACAAUCGCCGCCAGCCACCACCCUCUCUCCCUUUUGGCCGACAGCAGCUGUCCCAGCCACUUGUUCGCUUGUUAUAAAAUUUUAGGUAAUUCUGCUGCCGACGAGGAUAUUGUUGGAGGAGAAACUUCUAGUGCGGCCGCUUAGGAGCAGAGCUCAUCUACAGCUUUCACUUGGCCAGCAUUGUUAGCCAUGAUCCUCGCAGGAUUGAUGUCUCAACCUCAUCCCCAACUGCUAUUGAGAUCCACCCUAUCAUUCCCUUUCUCUAGACCCAAGAGGAAGUGGUGGGUCUUAUUGGGCUUGCCUCCGAGGCCCAAGAGGAAGAGGUUUCUCAUCUGCCCGUAAUAGAGCUCGGGCCAACAAGGAAAAACUCUUUCAACUAGCCAAUAGGUGAAGGUUAGAAAAGACUGUUGUCCCCCCCCAAUCAAUCCUUCUAUUACCCCUCUCGUCACUUCUGCGAAAUGGUGGUGGUGUGUCGGGAAUUUUACGAAUAUUUGCUCACUGGAGUCCACGAAGAACCAAACAACAGUGCUUAUCAUUUUUUGAUUUUUACAUAAAAUAUGCUACUCUUAGAGAUAUAAAAAUACACAUCAUUUUCUAAUUUUAUCAAAAUACAUUUCACAAUCUUUUGGGGGAGAAAAAAUCAUUAUACUAAUUUUCAAAAACAAAGUAAUGAAAUUUUAAAUCAUAUAAUAGACGAUGAAGCGCAGUCUGUUGGUAAGACGCUUCCCCUCCAACCAAUAGGUCGGGGGUUCGAGUCACCUUAGGAGCUAGAGUGUGAGUGGGUUUUUUCCUUUCUUUGGUUGUAACAAAUUUAAAAAAAAAAAAAUUUAAAUCAUAUAACGAGAAAGUUUUCAUAUAUAAUCAGGCCAACACAUUCUUAUCUAGUCAACCAUAUAGGGUUCAGGCUAUUUUGGGGUCAAUCUCAUCGAUUACAUGCUAUUCGUAUUGUAAUUUUAUUUAAUUUAAUUUUUUUAACCCUAAUCCUCUCGAAUUAUCAAUCUUAUCGGGCUAGUCCAUAAGCUGGAUUGACAUUCCUAGCUGUGAGAGAGAAAUUAUGCGAAAAACAUACUAGAGAAAGAAAGAGGAAUAAUUAUAUAUGAUGACUUCAAUGAGAGAUGGGUGAGGAGUGUGGAUAUUUUUAAUAG
rnacentral:lncRNA from 1 species